UUCUGGCCUAGGAGACCACGGAGAUGCAGAGAGUGGUGGGCAUGGGGAGGGCGUGGAAGCUCUGUGCCCUAUCCCCAUACCUCAGCCUCCAAAUGGCCUUUGACCUGUAUCCUUUAUCAUAUCCUUUAUCAAACUAGUGAAGAUGACCUAUUCCAGCUCUCUCGGUCCAAGCUGCAGAUGCUAGCAUUUUUUACCACAAAUCAAGAAUGGACCUACCAUGCCCGUUGUGAACGUGCUUGUGGGUUUUUCCUUUCCUGGGGGUUGACUGGCAUGAAGAUGAAGCAUUGUUGGUGGCUGUUUUGACGUCUUCCGUCUCAUCGUCUUCCUCCUCGACGUCCUCCUCGUCCUGAGAGCUUCCGAAAUAUACCAUGCUGUUGGGCAGCGCAGGAGAACCUGGUGGGUUGAAGAAGACGGCUUGUGAGCACAGGCCUGGGUCCUCGGCAUUACACGUAGAGACAUUUAUUAAGGUACAAACCUAAAUCCUCAUGCCUGAGCAGAUAAAACAAAGCUGUUCAUUUCUACUGCCACUUUUAUUUUUCAAAAUCCCCCAGGAAAUAAAACUCCAUCUGUGUCCUUUCAA